AUUGAACGCUGGCGGCAGGCCUAACACAUGCAAGUCGAGCGGAUGACGGGAGCUUGCUCCUUGAUUCAGCGGCGGACGGGUGAGUAAUGCCUAGGAAUCUGCCUGGUAGUGGGGGACAACGUUUCGAAAGGAACGCUAAUACCGCAUACGUCCUACGGGAGAAAGCAGGGGACCUUCGGGCCUUGUGCUAUCAGAUGAGCCUAGGUCGGAUUAGCUAGUAGGUGAGGUAAUGGCUCACCUAGGCGACGAUCCGUAACUGGUCUGAGAGGAUGAUCAGUCACACUGGAACUGAGACACGGUCCAGACUCCUACGGGAGGCAACAGUGGGGAAUAUUGGACAAUGGGCGAAAGCCUGAUCCAGCCAUGCCGCGUGUGUGAAGAAGGUCUUCGGAUUGUAAAGCACUUUAAGUUGGGAGGAAGGGCAGUAAGCGAAUACCUUGCUGUUUUGACGUUACCGACAGAAUAAGCACCGGCUAACUCUGUGCCAGCCGCCGCCGUAAAAC
rnacentral:rRNA from 1 species